rnacentral:lncRNA from 13 species
GAAGGUGUUGCAAAUCUUAUUAUGGGACUCCUGAUGUGCAGACUCUCAGCUAUUUUCUCGGACAGUAGUUUUGCUACUUAUUUUUGAUCUGCCAACUUCAAGAUUUUCUCAACAGUCUUCUCAAAAAGAAAACUGAAGGUGGUUGUGUAAAUUUGUUGACAAAGACCAGGAAAAUGUGAGAUCCCUUCAAUGUACCCUGAAGAUGUCAAUUGCUUUCCAGUAUUUCUACUGCUUUCCAGUAGUGCCAGUGGUGUCUGAGAACAUGAUAUGAAAACCAGCCCAAAAUACAAAAGAGUAGGAAUGAAGCUAAUAUUAUUUCCGCUAUCUCAUUCAUUCGUCCUGGUAAUGACCAGUAAAGAAGACAAUGAUUAUUCAGAGUAAAUUGUAAUUUUCUGCAGCAGG